GGUCGUAUAACUCAGUGGUAGAGUGCCACCUUGACAUGGUGGUGGUCACUGGUUCAAAUCCAGUUACGACCACCA
rnacentral:tRNA from 1 species